rnacentral:rRNA from 1 species
CCUACGGGAGGCAGCAGUGAGGAAUAUUGGUCAAUGGACGCAAGUCUGAACCAGCCAUGCCGCGUGCAGGAAGACGGCUCUAUGAGUUGUAAACUGCUUUUGUACGAGGGUAAACGCAGAUACGCGUAUCUGUCUGAAAGUAUCGUACGAAUAAGGAUCGGCUAACUCCGUGCCAGCAGCCGCGGUAAUACGGAGGUUGCGAGCGUUAUCCGGAUUUAUUGGGUUUAAAGGGUGCGCUGGCGGGAGAUCAAGUCAGCGGUAAAAUGUCGGGGUUCAACCCCGGCCGGCCGUUGAAACUGGUUUUCUAGAGUUGGAGAGAAGUAUGCGGAAUUCGUGGUGUAGCGGUGAAAUGCAUAGAUAUCACGAAGAACUCCGAUUGCGAAGGCAGCAUACCGGCUCCAUACUGACGCUGAGGCACGAAAGCGUGGGGAUCGAACAGGAUUAGAUACCCCUGUAGUC